UUCGCAGAACGCUGAGUUGGUCGGGUUUGCUAUGAAAACCUUUCAACAAGCCUUUGGAGACCACACGUCUCAACAACGCAAAAACUUUGGAAGAAGACAGGCUUUUACUUUUCAAAAAGACAAGAGUGUUUCUCACAAACUGGGGGCUUGUCCCGGAUCCUGUUGCCUUCUGGGGAACCCUGUUACCACUGCAGCAGGAAGGCGUGCUCCGCUGAUUUCACCGGUCCUGUGCCUUGGUGAUGCAGAGAGCUGAUGAAGGAACUGAGACUGGUUAAGAAGGCAGGAUUGGUGAAGAGCUGGGGAAGAAAGGAAGGAAGCGAGUGUGGAGACCCGACACGUGGUUCUGCAGCUCAGCGAGGGGCGAGGCCAGGGACAGAAGAAGUGAAAGGGUCACUCGUUGGGAUCAGACAGGAAAGGAGAUCAGACAGUAAAGAAGCGGAUCAGACAGUAAAGAAGCAAUUGACUACGUCCUGGAAACUUGGCUCCCCGGAACGAAGUGCUGACCUUUGGCACUUCUCCGAAUUCAAAUGGUGCCAAGCAAAGAUGUGGGAGUUUCGCCAUAUGAAACCUAAUUUGGAUUGCCGGACCUGGGCAAAGGGAAUGAACUACCUCAAUUUGAGACAAAAGAUGCUUUUCUUAAAAACUACAUGUUUGGGAUUUUGUCGUCUUUGUCAUCGCUCAGGACCAUUAGUCCAUUAGGAUCAUUAGCUCAAACCCCAACCUUGGAAGUCCCGAUCCAUCCAUUCCGAGCAGGAGAUUGGCUUUUGAUACGAGCGUGGAGGGAAUUGAAACUGCAACCUGAGUGGGACGGACCGUUCCAGGUACUCCUGACUACUGAGAUGGCAGUAAGAACAGCUGAGAAAUGGUGGACUCAGUACACUCACUACACCCGGGUGAAGACAUCAGUUGACCCUGAGACCUGAGAGACUGUUCCUAGAGGAGAACCUUUAAAAUUAAAAAUUAGGAGGAGGUGUGAAUCAUAGUUGUAAACUAACC